UGUGUCUGACCAAAGAGCCUCAACUGCCAGACGUCUGUCCAUCCACACCAUUCAAUUAGCACCUACUAUGUGCCAGCCUUAGGUCUAGGGGCUCAAGAAACAGGGUGGACAAGACAGGAAGUGUCCCUGUCCUCAUGGACCAGACACCAUCUGGUGGAAGAGAUGAGACAAUUGAGUAAUAAUAUCAAUACAAUAAGAUGUCAUCACUUAGUGAGGAGAGGAGAGGAGAGCUCAGUAAUGGUGGUAGAGGAGCCAUCAGAGGGUUGGACAAGGAAGACAGAGGAUCUGAGCUAAGUUUGUGAAGAAAAGUCCAGAUGCCUCAGACAAGAUGGACAAGGAGGUGGGAAGCAUGAUGGCUGUGGGUCCAACUAGGGUCACUGGGGGAGACUGUUUAUACCCAGCAUAUGUUUGUGGGGAGGAGGGACUGAAGCCUGGGUGAGGGGAGAGGGCUCAAGGCUGGCCUUAGGACAUGGACAGGAUGGUAUUGAGUCACGCUGCAGAAGGAGCCUUCAUGGGCAAGGGGGCUGGGGGAGGCCCUGAGCUCAUUACUCCAACGGAAAUAUCAAACUGCCUGUUAGCCUUUGUCAAAGGUAUCAAAGAGACUUUUUCAUUCAAGAUGGCAAGAGAGGAAUCUCCCUCUUAGACUUCUUUGAGAUAUUCUUUCUUCAUGACCGUUUCUUGCCCCUGGAUGAAUGCUCACAUGGGAGCAAAUUACCUCCUCAGUCCCAGGAUUUCAAUUUGCACACAAUCCCCCCAGAAUGAUCGAGACCUGCCAUCCCUGACCCACUGAUCAGGAAUUCUG
rnacentral:lncRNA from 1 species